rnacentral:lncRNA from 1 species
GGGAGGCAGUCCAGGCACCCGCCUGGCCUGGCUCCAGGCUUCGGCCACAGUCUUCCACCAGGAUGUGACUGAAGGCCUGGCCGAGGUCUGCAGGCCACCUGGAGGGCACCUGGAGAGCCAGGAGCGUGCUGUGAGCUCCCCGAGGACGACGCCCCCUCUGCUUACACCACCUGCAGGCGCUCCAGCCCCGGCACUGGAAGGCCUUGGCCACCGACACAGCAGCCUCAUCUUCUGGCUGGAUAAACUCACCUCAGAGCCAAGCGGCCCCGGAGAAGCUGCCUCUGUGGCCCGGUCUGCAGGGUGGAGUUACCGUGGGUCCCUCGCAUCAGACAUCUGCCUGCGGACCAGACACCUGCUCUCCUCCAAGGAGCCUCAAUGUCCAGAGAAGGGAUCCUGCGGUGACCGAGGGACAGGCCUGUCUUCUGGGUCACCACAUCUUGGCAUUUAUUAUUUGCCCCCAGGAAGGUCUGAAGGAUUUUACUUUUAAAAACCAUAGUCAGCCGGGCGCGGUGGCUAACGCCUGUAAUCCCAGCACUUAGGGAGGCCGAGGCGGGUGGAUCACCUGAGGUCAGGAGUUCAAGAACAAUCUGACCAACAUGCAGAAACCCUGUCUCUACUAAUACUACAAAAUUAGCCAGGUGUGGUGGUGGGCGCCCGUAAUCCCAGCUACUUGGGGGGCUGAGGCAGGAGAAUUGCUUGAACCUGCGGGGUGGAGGUUGCAGUGAGCUGAGAUCACACCAUUGCACUCCAGCCUGGGCAACAAGAGCGAAACUCUGUCUCAAAAAAAU